rnacentral:rRNA from 1 species
AUUGAACGCUGGCGGCAGGCUUAACACAUGCAAGUCGAGCGAGCGGCGGACGGGUGAGUAAUGUCUGGGAAACUGCCUGAUGGAGGGGGAUAACUACUGGAAACGGUAGCUACUACCGCAUAACAUCAGAUGUGCCGUGAUGGGAUUAGCUAGGAGGUGGGGUAAUGCCUCACCUAGGCGACGAUCCCUAGCUGGUCUGAGAGGAUGACCGGCCACACGGGAACUGAGACACGGUCCAGACUCCUACGGGAGGCAGCAGUGGGGAAUAUUGCACAAUGGGCGCAAGCCUGAUGCAGCCAUGCCGCGUGUGUGAAGAAGGCCUUCGGGUUGUAAAGCACUUUCAGCGAGGAGGCGUUACUCGCAGAAGAAGCACCGGCUAACUCCGUGCCAGCAGCCGCGGUAAUUC